rnacentral:rRNA from 1 species
CGUCAUGCCCCUUAUGACCUGGGCUACACACGUGCUACAAUGGUUGGUACAACGAGUUGCGAGUCGGUGACGGCGAGCUAAUCUCUUAAAGCCAAUCUCAGUUCGGAUUGUAGGCUGCAACUCGCCUACAUGAAGUCGGAAUCGCUAGUAAUCGCGGGUCAGCAUGCCGCGGUGAAUACGUUCCCGGGCCUC